CCUAAACACUAACCAAGCUUCUUCGUGCUUCUCACAGCUUUGAUGGUGUCGUCGAAGUCCGUAUGAGUCUUUGGAUUUGUAUCUUCUAACAAGGAAACAUUAC
rnacentral:sRNA from 1 species